rnacentral:rRNA from 1 species
CAAUGGGGGGAAACCCUGNAUGCAGCGACGCCGCGNUGGAGGAAAGAAGGUCUUCGUGNAAANUAAACUCCNGNUUGUUGAGGAAGAUAAUGACGGUACUCAACANNGCAAGUGACGGCUAACUACGUGCCAGCAGCCGCGGUAAAACGUAGGUCACAAGCGUUGUCCGGAAUUACUGGGUGUAAAGGGAGCGCAGGCGGGAGAACAAGUUGGAAGUGAAAUCCAUGGGCUCAACCCAUGAACUGCUUUCAAAACUGUUUUUCUUGAGUAGUGCAGAGGUAGGCGGAAUUCCCGGUGUAGCGGUGGAAUGCGUAGAUAUCGGGAGGAACACCAGUGGCGAAGGCGGCCUACUGGGCACCAACUGACGCUGAGGCUCGAAAGUGUGGGUAGCAAACAGGAUUAGAUACCCUGGUAGUCCAAGGGCGAAUUC